UAUAUCUUGGUGUACGGUGCACAGAAGCUUUUGAUGCUUAAAGUGAUAGUUUGAUUCUGUUAGAUAUAA
rnacentral:tRNA from 1 species